rnacentral:rRNA from 1 species
UACAGAGGUGGCAAGCGUUGUUCGGAUUUACUGGGCGUAAAGGGUGCGUAGGCGGCCCCGUGUGUCGGAUGUGAAAGCCCACCGCUUAACGGUGGAAAGUCAUUCGAAACUGCGGAGCUAGAGUACAGGAGGGGAGAGCGGAAUUCUUGGUGUAGCGGUGAAAUGCGUUGAUAUCAAGAGGAACACCGGUGGCGUAAGCGGCUCUCUGGAAUGAUACUGACGCUGAGGCACGAGAGCUAGGGGAGCAAACAGG